UCACCAAUUGGUUGCAAGACGGCGGUAGAUGACACUUCAUUAACAUGUGACAUUGAAUGGGAACUCAUUGAGGAAGGAAACUGCGCAAGUCCCCUUAGUGCUGACGACCACCCUGUAUGUGGUUUCACUACUAAAGGACUAACUUCAGAGGGACUGAAGAAAUAUGGUUCAUGGGAUAGUGCCCGUUGGAAUUUGUAUACAAACUACACGACGGAUUAUAAGAACGGAACAUUCCUCUCUGCAAAUUAUGAGAGCGCAUUCAAAAUUUUAGUGACCCAGUUUGAGUCCCACUCUCCUGAUGACGUAUACAAAGUUAAAUUUAGACCGUCUGUGACUGGUCAUGAUCUUUGGAAUGGAUAUAUGUUUCCAGAUAUUGAGAUCAAGCUUGUUGACCCUAUUGAGAAGAAUACGACAGUGCAUGUGGGCUGGAAUACCGGCUACCAAACGACGAUCGUGACUAAAACAGUUGCCAUUUCAUACAGCUUCAAUCACUCAGUUUCGAUGGCCCUUAGUGAAACAGGAGAGUUCUUGAUGUUGAGGGGCAAU